rnacentral:rRNA from 1 species
UCCGUGGCUCAGGACGAACGCUGGCGGCGUGCCUAAUACAUGCAAGUCGAGCGAAUGAUAAGGAGCUUGCUCCUUGAUUUAGCGGCGGACGGGUGAGUAACACGUGGGUAACCUACCCUAUAGACUGGGAUAACUUCGGGAAACCGGAGCUAAUACCGGAUAAUACUUCGAAACACAUGUUUUGAAGUUGAAAGAUGGUUUCGGCUAUCACUAUAGGAUGGACCCGCGGCGCAUUAGCUAGUUGGUGGGGUAAUGGCUCACCAAGGCAACGAUGCGUAGCCGACCUGAGAGGGUGAUCGGCCACACUGGGACUGAGACACGGCCCAGACUCCUACGGGAGGCAGCAGUAGGGAAUCUUCCACAAUGGACGAAAGUCUGAUGGAGCAACGCCGCGUGAGUGAAGAAGGAUUUCGGUUCGUAAAACUCUGUUGCAAGGGAAGAACAAGUAGCGUAGUAACUGGCGCUACCUUGACGGUACCUUGUUAGAAAGCCACGGCUAACUACGUGCCAGCCGCCGC